rnacentral:lncRNA from 1 species
AUUCCCCGCUCGCCAAGGCACGUUUGCACAGGCAUUUUUCCUGCUCUUUUUUCUGGGAGGGCAGCUUGGUAGAAUGGUCGGCGGAGCUGGGCGAGGAGAGGGGUCUUCAGAAGGUUUGCUUUCUUGCUCUUGCUUCUCACUGGCCGCUGGGCUGUCCACUUUCCGCGCCGGGCGACUGGCAACAGGAGGCCAUGGAUUUCCCCCAACGAGUGCGUUGGUGUUUUUCUUUGGUUUUGUUUCCUUUGCAUGUUCGUAUGUGUAGUUUUAUUUUCUUGCCUGUUUUCGUUUGAUGGCAGAGAGGCGACCUCGGGAAGUAUUAAACAUUUGCCCGUAUAAGAAGAGCGUCUGUGGUCCACCAUGACCCUCGCUCAUCCCAGGUGGCUCUCCGCCCUGCCCUCUCCAUCCUCCCGCCUCGCACAGUACCGGCAGCUUGACCUUGGAGCCACUGCCACAUUGGUUCCGCGGGGGGAGUAGGAGGGUGGACAAUUUGGACUGUCCAGCGUAGGGGGUGAAUUGAAGGCAGAGGACACCAGUCCUCAGGCCUGACACUAUUAAUUUUAUGUAGGUCCUGUCAUCUCCACGAGAUAGCCAUAAAUGUGUUCCAGUAACAGGAAAGCUGAACAAGGAUCAGCCGCCCAGAAGUUAGCCUGUCGCAGCUAAACUAAUGCAUGCUUGCGGCCAAGACCACGCUGUCCUCGGCUUUCAGUCAAUAGGGUCUUCCCACCUUCCGCCCGCUGGAUUACAAGGCUUUACUAACCUCCAAGGCUACAAGCCAUUCUACACCCUGCCCACCUCUUUUUUCUUUCUUAACUUCUGCCUCCCUUCCAGUCUCCCAGCGCUCGGUCUAGUGCCUUUUUCCCUCCAGCCCUUUCCUCUUCCCUCCCUCCCUGUGCCUGUCUGCCUCUGUCGUCCCCUGUAAGCUUGUCUCCUGCAGCCAAGGCUUUCUAUCACCUAUUCUCAAGAUGCACUUAUGAAUAAACCUUGUCCUGCAUCGCUCCGGGAGAUCCCCUGAUGAUGAUCAUAAUUGACAAAAUGUAGCUAUUGUGACAUUCCUCAGCUGUGCUGACACCACCGUUUCCCUUGAGAAAAUUUCUUUUUCUAUAUUCGCAUUCCCUAAACCUAAUUUCACUGCUAAAUUUAGACAGCUCACUGCGCAGCCACUAGCUAAUUAUCUGUUUAGAUAGCACUUUAACACGUUGUUGAGACUCAGUUAAAUGUUAAACAACCAAAAUUUUAAUAUCACUAGCCAAUUUCAUUCUUCCAGGUUUUCCCUGAUGGCUCCACAUCUCCAAGAAAAGUAAUUUAGCCAACAUUUCAAAAAAUACCAAAGGCUUAACUUGGGUAGGGGCCAUCGGGCAAUUGCUACAGAGACCAUAAGGAAUUAGCAGGUUAAGUUCGUCUCAAAAAGAUGACAUGGAGCUUUAACAAAUAUAUUUCCUCCAUACUUACAGAAAUUGAAUAGUGGUCUGCUAUGAUAUUCUCUGACCUAAAGUGAAGAGAGAGCAUGGAAGAGCAUUAUUUAUAGAUGUUAUAUAAGCAUUAAAAGAGCACCAUGCUGGUGUUUUAUGUGCAUAUAUGUAUUAUAUUCUAAUAAUAAUAAUUUGUGUUUAUACAGCAUCUUCAACUAAAGAUGUCAAAGCACAAGCUCACUUCCCACGGAAGGUAGCAAUUACUAUUAUCUACUUGACAGCUACAAGAACCUAGGCACAGAGGUUAAGUGCUCUGCAAAUACUACCAGCCAGUGGUGGUUUUCCUGCCAGAACCAAGUUCUUGCCUUCCAGUGGACACCAUUGAUCUCUCAAGAUGAUUCUUUAAGUUAAAAAGAGCUGAAAGCCUGCAAACUACAUUUUGUUAAGUCUUUGGUAAACACAUUUCAUAUUAAUUUCUGUUACAAGGCAGCAGAAAUAGGCACAGUGCCUCCAACAUAUCAAAGGAAAGUAAAGGCUAGUGGAAGGGGAUAACAGCUUCCUGACCUCCAGGUCCAAUGGAAAAGUCCCAUUACGUUGACUAGGACCCACACUUGUGAAGAAUUAUGAAAACACAGAGCAUUUUGCAACAAAUUAUGUAAUCAUGUAAAUAGUAAACUAAUAAUAAACAGUAAACUGAUAACAGCAAAAUAUAUUUAAAAUUUGUACUGUUACAUAUCUUCAUUGGCACACAAAGAUAAUGCUAUUUUAAAAAAUAAAAUCAGAAGCUUGAAAUGUGUACAGUACUUCUUUUAUUGCUUAUGAAUACGAUUAGGCCAAUGUACUUUUUGAAUCAGAUAAUUUUUUGACCUAAAUGGGUUUAAUCCUCUUCUUUAUACUUUAUACAUAAGGAAACAGGCUUGUAGAGAAGAAAAGAUUUCUUUUCUCACCCAUUGCUAGUUUUAUGGCUGAGGCCUCUAUUAAAAAAAAGAGGUUAACAAGAGAAAAAUCACAAAUAUGUAUUUACUAUAAAGUUUAUGUGAUAUGGGAGACUUCAUAAAGAAAUGAAGAUCCAAAGAACAGGUAAACCUAUGUGUAUUGUAUGCUAGGUUUAAUGGAGAAGUGGAUAGUCAUGGAGAGGUAUGAUUAGACUAAGUGGGUUAGCAAGGCAGGUUUGUACAGAUUCUUCUCUGUAUCAUUGGGUCUUCACAGACAAGGUUGUUUGUUAUUUCCAGGAAUGGGAAUGGUACUUCUAAGAUGUGGGUCUUAUGACCUUGCUUCAGGGAAGGAGGGUGGGAGAAGGUCAGAGAGUAACUUUCCUGCUUCUGCUAUUUUCUCAAAUGCCAAGGUGACAUAUUUUGGGGUAAUAUGUCCCUGGGUCUUCACAGACAAGGAUGUUUGUUAUCUCCAGGAACAGGAAUGGUACUUCUAAGAUGUGGGUCUUUUGACCUUGCUUCAGGGAAGGAGGGUGGGAGAAGGUCAGAGAGUAACUUUCCUGCUUCUGCUAUUUUUCUCAAAUGCCAAGGUGACGUAUUUUGGGGUAAUAUGUCCUGAACCCCAUCACUUGCAAGGUUUUGCCUUAUUCAGGGACUUCUGUCCUCUUUCUUUUGCAUUCUUUUUUUUAUGAAAUAUACUCAUGGCAGAAAUGCAUCUGUGAAACUGUGGGUUUCACCUUAGUCAAGUUUGUCUCCACAGGCACGAAUCACAAAGGGCCUCAAAACCACAUUAAAAUUUAAGAUUGAUCUGCUCUUCUGCUUCUGAAUGUGAGAGCCUAUACUGGAUCUCUGAAGAAAAUAAAGAUGAGAUGAGGUUCUGAUCCCUUGGACUUCAUGAAGUUACGUGACAGAAAGUAUGAUUGUCUAGCCGAUACUUGACUGUGUGAAACCUUCAUCUACUCCGGAAUCCUGAGGCACAGACUCAGAGGCCCUCUGACUCACGAUUAGGGUUGUCAGGGUGAUGCAACAGCAAGACCAUAGCCUUUGGUGUCGGAAUACCAAGUUUUGAAGCUCAGUUUCCCCACUCACUAAUUUUCAGUGAGCACAUACAUAAUUUGAAAUCUGAAAAUGGACAAUAAUGCCUACCUACUUCAAAAUUUGGUUUGAGAAUCAAGUGAAAUAUUAAUAUAUAUGUAAGCAUUUUAUGAACAAGGAAGCAAGUUAUAAAUGCAUUAUCUUGUUAAUUUAGUCAUUUCACUAGGGGUGGGUCCAAUGUGGGCCUCCUUUGAGGUAGACUGUAUUUCAUGAAUUUAUAAUAAAAUUCUAAAGUUUAACA